rnacentral:rRNA from 1 species
AGAACGAACGCUGGCGGCACGCCUAACACAUGCAAGUCGAACGAACUUAAUUUCUAGCUUGCUAGGAAUUAAGUUAGUGGCAGACGGGUGAGUAACGCGUGGGAAUCUACCUAGUAGUAUGGAAUAACAGUUGGAAACGACUGCUAAUACCAUAUAUUCUCCGAGGAGGAAAGAUUUAUCGCUACUAGAUGAGCCCGCGUUAGAUUAGGUAGUUGGUAAGGUAAUGGCUUACCAAGCCUACGAUCUAUAGCUGGUCUGAGAGGACGAUCAGCCACACUGGGACUGAGACACGGCCCAGACUCCUACGGGAGGCAGCAGUUAGGAAUUUUCCGCAAUGGGCGAAAGCCUGACGGAGCAACGCCGCGUGAGUGAUGAAGACCUUCGGGUUGUAAAGCUCUGUCGGAGGGAAGAACACAAUGACGGUACCUCCAAGAAAGCCCCGGCUAACUACGUGCCAGCAGCCGC